rnacentral:sRNA from 1 species
GAGGAAAAGAAACCAACAGGGAUUGCCUCAGUAACGGCGAGUGAAGCGGCAACAGCUCAAAUUUGAAAUCUGGCCUCUCGGGGUCCGAGUUGUAAUUUGUAGAGGAUGUUUCGGGUACCGCCUCGGUUUAAAUUUCUUGGAACAGAAUGUCAAAGAGGGUGAGAAUCCCGUCUUGGACCGGUGGUAGGGCCUAUGUGAAACUCCUUCGACGAGUCGAGUUGUUUGGGAAUGCAGCUCAAAAUGGGUGGUAAAUUUCAUCUAAAGCUAAAUAUUGGCCAGAGACCGAUAGCGCACAAGUAGAGUGAUCGAAAGAUGAAAAGCACUUUGAAAAGAGAGUUAAACAGUAUGUGAAAUUGUUGAAAGGGAAGCGCUUGCAACCAGACUUGAGCGCGGCGGUUCCCCCUUGCUUCUGCUUGGGUUACUCCGCCGUGUCCAGGCCAACAUCGGUUCUGGGGGUCGGUCAAAGGCUCUGGGAAUGUAUCUACCUACGGGUAGACUUAUAGACCAGGGCGUCAUGCGACCUCCCGGGACCGAGGAACGCGCUUCGGCUCGGAUGUUGGCGUAAUGGUUGUCAGCGACCCGUCUUGAAACACGGACCAAGGAGUCUAACAUCUAUGCGAGUGUUUGGGUGUCAAACCCGGAACGCGGAAUGAAAGUGAACGGAGGUAGGAAGCUUCGGCUGCACUAUCGACCGAUCCUGAAGUUUACGGAUGGAUUUGAGUAAGAGCAUAGCUGUUGGGACCCGAAAGAUGGUGAACUAUGCCUGAAUAGGGUGAAGCCAGAGGAAACUCUGGUGGAGGCUCGCAGCGGUUCUGACGUGCAAAUCGAUCGUCAAAUUUAGGUAUAGGGGGCGAAAGACUAAUCGAACCAUU